UGCUAUGAUGUGGUAAUUUGCGGUUGAUCCGGCUUUUGUGAAUCUCCCGCCAGAGUAUUCUCAAGCAACUGUCGGGGUGAUAUUUAAUUUCUUACAUAUUCUGAUU
rnacentral:snoRNA from 18 species